UCCUCUUUAUGGUUUUCGUCACUCUUUCUAUUGAAGAAUUUGACUUACUGUUUUGUCAGGACUCUCUAUUGUCAAGAGUAAAUUUUUGUCUUUCAUAUUUAUUCGAGUAUUGAGCGUUUCAAUCCUGCUCAUGUUAUUUUUUGACAGAGGGUUUUUGUUUUGUUUUAAUAAUAGUUUCAUUAAGAUAAAAUGCACACAUCAUAAAGUUCACCCUUUUAAAGAAUACAAUUAAAUGAUUUUUCCUGAAUUCGCAAAGGUGUGCAUCCGUUGGCUAAUUCCAGAACAUUCUCAUCACCCAGAAGAGAAACUCCAUACCCGUGAGCCGUCACCUCCUGUCCCCCUCUCCCCAGGCCCUUUACAACCACUAAUCUACUUACUGUCUUUAUAGAUUUUCCUAUUGUGGACGUCUCCUAUAAAUAGAAUCAUAAAACACGAGACCUUUUAUGCCUUGCAAACCCUGGUGGCGUAGUUGUUAAGCAGCCCAACUGCUAACCAAAGGGUUGGCAGCUUGACUCCGCCAGGCGCUCCUUGGAAACUGGGGCAGUUCUACUCUGUCCUUACAGGGUCGCUAUGAGUCAGAAUCGACUCCACGGCACUGGGUUUUUGGUUUUGGUGUAUGCCUUGCUUCUUUCUGCUUAGCAUAACCUUUUCAAGGUUCAUCCAAGUUGCAGCACGUAUUAGACCUUCAUUCGUCUUUUACGUUGUCAUCGUCGUCGUUACGUGCUGUUGGGUUGGUUCCGACUCACAGUGACCCUAUGUACACCAGAACCAAACACUGCCUGGUCCUGCACCAGUAAUAUCCCACUUCACAGAUACACCAGAUUUUGUGUAUUUGUUCUUCAGUUGAUGGGCAUUUGGGACGUCUCUGCAUGUUGACUGUUACAGGUAGUUGUGCUAUGAACAUUUGUGUCCAUGCAGAGGUUUGAUUUGUAUCGUGUCAAAUCAGUGUUGCUUUUCCCCUUGGCAAAGAUUGCUCUCUGUCUUGUCCUGUAAGAAGGCUUUCUCUACCUAGAGACCCCAUAAAUACUCACCAGUCCUUUUUCUCUUAAGUAUUUUUAUUAUUACAUUAUUAAGUUCCAAUCUUCAAUCUACACAAAAAUUCAUUUUAUAAUUACAUGAUUAAAUUCCAGUCUUUAUAUGAAAAUUCAUUUUGGUUUUAAGAUGUAGAAAAGGGAUAUAAUUUUUCCCAGUAAAAUCAAUGAAUGAGUCUAGGUAAUGUAUUAAAAUUUUUUCAUGUCCUUGUUAAUUUGAGACACUGUGUUAAAAUAGAAAAUUUAUAAUAGAAAAGGUGUUUUCAAAUUUUGUUUUAUUCCAUUCAUCCUUUUAUAUAUUCCUAUUGUAGUUUUUUUUUUAUUGUAGUACUCCACUGUAAUUCUGGUAGCUUUGUAAUACCUUUUCAGAUCUUUGAAGGAUAUCCUCCCAAUUACCUUCAUUUUAAAAAAUAUCCUAGAUAUUCAUUUAUUAAUUUAACUUAAGUAUUAUUUUGUCAAUUUCUACAAAGAGUUCCGUUGCGAUUCUGGCCAAAAUUGGGCUAAAUUUACGCCUUUACGCAGGAAUUGUGACUUGCCCCCUUGCUCUGCGUUGCAUCUCCUCCCUGAAAAGUCUGUCUGUAGGUAUCGAUUGUUAAACAGCUAUGGUAGAUGCCCUCUCCCCACUUAUGUGCUUAACUAGCUAUUUUAUUAGAUCAGGAAAGUUUUGCUUCCGGCUGCCAACCAGCUCAUUGACUCUUUUUGUUUUGUUUUGUUUUACUGUAGUCUUUCUGGUUGAUUCUCUUGGGCUUUCACCUGGAGUAGACAGGCGGUCACCAACAGUAGUAACAAAGUAGAGGAAAGUACCCUGAGGGAAAAGUUCAGCGUUUUGGGAACCCAAAGCCUCAUUUUGCUCGGUGGGUCAGGAAAGCCUUUUUGAGGAAGCCUCAUUUAAACAGAAACCGAAAGACUGCAGUAGGGGUUAGGCAGACCCAGAGUGGAGGAAGAGCUUCCAGCGAGGGGAGCAGCAUUGUGAUGGCCUUGUGACCAGCACAGCGUGGGCCAGCAGCUGGAGCAGUGAGCUGGGGACGGCAGGAAAGGUGGACAAGGCCCGCUAGGCCCCGUCAGGGAGUCAGGUCAGAUCGUGAGUCUAGCAGUAAGCAGCCGGCGGUUUUUGAGCAGGGCUGAGACGCGUUCCGAUUUACGUUUUAGAAGAUUACUUCAGCUGCUUUGUAGAGAAUGGAUUAAAGACGAGCAAGAGUGGAGGAGAGGAGCCUCGUUAGGAGGCGGUUGCAGUAGCUCAGCAUCAGACUUACGCACCUCGGUGGUGGCGGUGGUGCGCGUUGCCAUCGAGGUGGCUCCUGCUCAUGGCGACCGUAUGUCUAACAGAACGGAACGUUGCCGGUCCUGCGCUGUUCGCACAACUUCUGGUCUCCUACGUUAUUCGGGAUGAAGUGGAGAAGUACAAUCGAAACGGAGUCAAUGCCCUGCAGCUGGAUCCAGCGCUGAACAGACUCUUCACGGCCGGCCGCGACUCCAUCAUAAGGAUAUGGAGUGUCAAUCAGCACAAGCAAGAUCCAUACAUAGCAUCUAUGGAACACCACACUGACUGGGUAAAUGACAUCGUACUCUGUUGUAAUGGGAAAACAUUGAUAUCUGCGUCCUCUGACACAACAGUCAAAGUGUGGAACGCGCAUAAGGGAUUUUGCAUGUCAACCCUGAGGACACACAAGGAUUACGUAAAAGCCUUAGCGUACGCCAAGGAUAAAGAGCUGGUGGCCUCGGCUGGGCUGGACAGACAGAUAUUCCUCUGGGAUGUGAACACCCUGACAGCGCUGACUGCCUCAAAUAACACUGUCACAAGUGUGACCCGGCAUUGUUGUACACGUGCAUGUCGUAGCACCCUAGCUGAAGUGGAGGUGCCCACUGCCUGGCCCAAAGCUGCACGCUCAUCAGCAUCCUCUUUAAGCGGGAACAAAGAUUCCAUUUACAGCCUGGCAAUGAAUCAGCUGGGAACAAUCAUUGUAUCAGGGUCCACUGAGAAGGUUUUGAGAGUGUGGGAUCCAAGAACAUGUGCAAAACUAAUGAAGCUUAAAGGGCACACAGAUAACGUGAAGGCCUUGCUGCUGAACAGAGAUGGUACACAGUGCCUUUCCGGCAGCUCUGAUGGGACAAUUCGCCUUUGGUCCCUUGGCCAGCAGAGAUGUAUAGCAACGUACCGAGUUCACGAUGAAGGCGUUUGGGCUCUGCAAGUCAAUGACGCCUUCACACACGUGUAUUCUGGAGGAAGGGACAGGAAGAUUUACUGUACAGACCUAAGAAACCCUGACAUCCGGGUGCUAAUCUGUGAAGAAAAAGCACCCGUUCUCAAGAUGGAGCUUGAUAGAUCAGCUGAUCCCCCUCCUGCAAUCUGGGUUGCAACAACGAAGUCUACGGUAAAUAAAUGGACACUGAAGGGCAUUCAUAAUUUUAGAGCCUCUGGAGAUUAUGACAACGACUGCACAAAUCCUGUAACGCCUCUUUGUACGCAGCCUGACCAGGUUAUCAAAGGGGGUGCUAGUAUUAUUCAGUGCCACAUUCUGAAUGAUAAGAGACACAUAUUAACCAAAGAUACCAACAAUAGUGUGGCGUAUUGGGAUGUGUUGAAGGCAUGUAAAGUUGAAGAUCUGGGCAAAGUGGAUUUUGAAGAUGAAAUUAAGAAAAGAUUUAAAAUGGUGUAUGUGCCAAAUUGGUUCUCAGUAGACUUGAAAACCGGGAUGUUGACUAUCACUUUAGAUGAGAGUGACUGUUUUGCUGCUUGGGUUUCUGCAAAAGACGCGGGCUUCAGCAGCCCUGACGGGUCAGAUCCAAAAUUGAACUUAGGAGGACUUUUACUUCAGGCACUCCUGGAAUAUUGGCCUAGAACCCACGCGAACCCAAUGGAUGAAGAAGAAAAUGAAGUAAACCAUGUGAACGGGGAGCAAGAGAACCGAGUGCAGAAGGGAAAUGGGUACUUUCAGGUGCCCCCCCACACACCCGUCAUCUUUGGUGAAGCUGGAGGCCGCACGCUCUUCAGGCUGCUCUGCCGAGACUCCGGGGGUGAGACUGAGUCCAUGCUUCUUAACGAGACGGUGCCACAAUGGGUAAUUGACAUCACUGUGGAUAAAAAUAUGCCCAAAUUCAACAAAAUUCCUUUCUACCUCCAACCUCAUGCGUCUUCAGGAGCAAAAACCUUGAAAAAAGAUAGACUCUCUGCCAGCGACAUGCUCCAAGUCCGGAAAGUAAUGGAACACGUUUAUGAGAAAAUCAUCAACUUGGAUAACGAGUCUCAAACCACUAGUUCUUCGAAUAAUGAAAAACCAGGAGAACAGGAAAAAGAAGAGGAUAUUGCCGUGUUGGCAGAGGAGAAAAUUGAACUUUUGUGCCAGGACCAGGUUUUAGAUCCAAACAUGGACCUCCGGACCGUGAAGCACUUUGUGUGGAAGAGUGGGGGUGACCUCACCCUGCAUUACCGGCAGAAGUCAACGUGAAGGGUGCCGGGUGCCUGAGUGAGUGUCCAUGUACUGACCUGCCUCCACGCCCAAGAGUCCCCACUGGAGCGAGGCUUCCAACGCCAGUUUGCUGCAGAUGCAGGGCUCCCUCGUUGCUGGCUGCCUUCUCGGGACGGGGGCAGGCAUUGCCUCCUGCACUCUGGAGAAGCCAGUGAAGACCUGGCCGCCUUCCCUGUGAGAUGAAACGGCCUUUCUCCCUUCUGCAGCAAGCGAGCGACCUGGCUUUUUUUUUAAGUCCUUUGUAUGGAGUUCUUGGAUACAGCAGUGUACUUUUGGUGCACCUUUUUUUAGCAAUUAUAACAAUAGUUAAGAAUUAAUGGCAGGAAAAAGAAAAAACCCCGUAAAUAUUGUAACUCAUUUGCCAGCCCCGUUUGCACGAGGGGGGCUUGAGGUGGAGAGUUCUGCCGGGUACCUGCCGGCUGGGCCAAACCUCAGGGGCAUCCACACCCCUCGUGUCCUCGGCCUCACCCCCAGCAUGGUUGUGGUUUUCUCCUUCUUCCAAUCAAACUAGUUAUCACUUUACAGAAAAUGUGACAGUCUGCAAUGCCAAAAGGGUAAAAAUAUGUAUUUCACAGUUGUACAGAAUAAAGGCUUUAGUUAAAAUA